rnacentral:rRNA from 1 species
UACGUAGGGGGCAAGCGUUGUCCGGAAUCAUUGGGCGUAAAGCGCGUGUAGGCGGCCAGAAAAGUCCGCUGUGAAAACUCGAGGCUCAACUUCGAGCUGUCGGUGGAAACUUUCUGGCUAGAGUCCGGAAGAGGAGAAUGGAAUUCCUGGUGUAGCGGUGAAAUGCGCAGAUAUCAGGAGGAACACCGGUGGCGAAGGCGGGUCUCUGGGCAACUACUGACGCUGAGGAGCGAAAGCGUGGGGAGCGAACAGG